GCCGAUGUGGCUCAGGGGUAGAGCAGCUCACUCGUAAUGAGCAGGUCGUCGGUUCAAUUCCGACCAUCGGCUCCA
rnacentral:tRNA from 1 species